AGACAGCCAGGAUGUUGGCUUAGAAGCAGCCAUCAUUUAAAGAAAGCGUAAUAGCUCACUGGUCGAGUCGGCCUGCGCGGAAGAUGUAACGGGGCUAAACCAUGCACCGAAGCUGCGGCAGCGACGCUGAUGCGUUGUUGGGUAGGGGAGCGUUCUGUAAGCCUGCGAAGGUGGCCUGUGAGGGUUGCUGGAGGUAUCAGAAGUGCGAAUGCUGACAUAAGUAACGAUAAAGCGGGUGAAAAGCCCGCUCGCCGGAAGACCAAGGGUUCCUGUCCAACGUUAAUCGGGGCAGGGUGAGUCGACCCCUAAGGCGAGGCCGAAAGGCGUAGUCGAUGGGAAACGGGUUAAUAUUCCCGUACUUGGUGUUACUGCGAAGGGGGGACGGAGAAGGCUAUGUUGGCCGGGCGACGGUUGUCCCGGUUUAAGCGUGUAGGUGUGUGUUCCAGGUAAAUCCGGUUCACUUUAACACUGAGGCGUGAUGACGAGGCACUACGGUGCUGAAGCAACAAAUGCCCUGCUUCCAGGAAAAGCCUCUAAGCAUCAGGUAACAUCAAAUCGUACCCCAAACCGACACAGGUGGUCAGGUAGAGAAUACCAAGGCGCUUGAGAGAACUCGGGUGAAGGAACUAGGCAAAAUGGUGCCGUAACUUCGGGAGAAGGCACGCUGACACGUAGGUGAAGUGAUUUACUCAUGGAGCUGAAGUCAGUCGAAGAUACCAGCUGGCUGCAACUGUUUAUUAAAAACACAGCACUGUGCAAACACGAAAGUGGACGUAUACGGUGUGACGCCUGCCCGGUGCCGGAAGGUUAAUUGAUGGGGUCAGCGCAAGCGAAGCUCCUGAUCGAAGCCCCGGUAAACGGCGGCCGUAACUAUAACGGUCCUAAGGUAGCGAAAUUCCUUGUCGGGUAAGUUCCGACCUGCACGAAUGGCGUAAUGAUGGCCAGGCUGUCUCCACCCGAGACUCAGUGAAAUUGAACUCGCUGUGAAGAUGCAGUGUACCCGCGGCAAGACGGAAAGACCCCGUGAACCUUUACUAUAGCUUGACACUGAACAUUGAGCCUUGAUGUGUAGGAUAGGUGGGAGGCUUUGAAGUGUGGACGCCAGUCUGCAUGGAGCCGACCUUGAAAUACCACCCUUUAAUGUUUGAUGUUCUAACGUGGACCCGUGAUCCGGGUUGCGGACAGUGUCUGGUGGGUAGUUUGACUGGGGCGGUCUCCUCCUAAAGAGUAACGGAGGAGCACGAAGGUUGGCUAAUCCUGGUCGGACAUCAGGAGGUUAGUGCAAUGGCAUAAGCCAGCUUGACUGCGAGCGUGACGGCGCGAGCAGGUGCGAAAGCAGGUCAUAGUGAUCCGGUGGUUCUGAAUGGAAGGGCCAUCGCUCAACGGAUAAAAGGUACUCCGGGGAUAACAGGCUGAUACCGCCCAAGAGUUCAUAUCGACGGCGGUGUUUGGCACCUCGAUGUCGGCUCAUCACAUCCUGGGGCUGAAGUAGGUCCCAAGGGUAUGGCUGUUCGCCAUUUAAAGUGGUACGCGAGCUGGGUUUAGAACGUCGUGAGACAGUUCGGUCCCUAUCUGCCGUGGGCGCUGGAGAACUGAGGGGGGCUGCUCCUAGUACGAGAGGACCGGAGUGGACGCAUCACUGGUGUUCGGGUUGUCAUGCCAAUGGCACUGCCCGGUAGCUAAAUGCGGAAGAGAUAAGUGCUGAAAGCAUCUAAGCACGAAACUUGCCCCGAGAUGAGUUCUCCCUGAGACUUUAGGUCUCCUGAAGGAACGUUGAAGACGACGACGUUGAUAGGCCGGGUGUGUAAGCGCAGCGAUGCGUUGAGCUAACCGGUACUAAUGAACCGUGAGGCUUAACCUUACA
rnacentral:rRNA from 1 species